UAGGGAAUCUUCCACAAUGGACGAAAGUCUGAUGGAGCAACGCCGCGUGAGUGAAGAAGGUUCUCGGAUCGUAAAACUCUGUUGUGAGGGAAGAACAAGUACCGGAGUAACUGCCGGUACCUUGACGGUACCUCAUUAGAAAGCCACGGCUAACUACGUGCCAGCAGCCGCGGUAAUACGUAGGUGGCAAGCGUUGUCCGGAAUCAUUGGGCGUAAAGCGCGCGCAGGCGGUCCCUUAAGUCUGAUGUGAAAGCCCACGGCUCAACCGUGGAGGGUCAUUGGAAACUGGGGGGCUUGAGUGCAGAAGAGGAAAGCGGAAUUCCAAGUGUAGCGGUGAAAUGCGUAGAGAUUUGGAGGAACACCAGUGGCGAAGGCGGCUUUCUGGUCUGUAACUGACGCUGAGGCGCGAAAGCGUGGGGAGCAAAACAGGAUUAGAUACCCUGGGUAGUCCACGGCCGUAAACGAUGAGUGCUAAGUGUUAGGGGGG
rnacentral:rRNA from 1 species